GAUGAACGCUGGCGGCGUGCCUAAUACAUGCAAGUAGAACGCUGAAGGUUGAUCUUGGUUCCCAGCAUAAGAUUUGCAAACGGGAGAAUAACGUAUAUGACCCGUGCGUCUUAGCGGGAGAUCACUAGUGAACAAUAUCUCUUACACCACAAAAAAAAAUAUUUCAUGAGAUUUUGAUUUGAAGGGUGCUUUUGUCUCUAUAAGAUAUGGAUGUGCUGUGUAAUAUCUAUGUGGAGAUGUCACGGCUCCCCAGCGACAAUACACAUACCACACCUGAGAGGGAGAUCCCCCACUGUGACAGAGACACACCCCCCACACUCCUACGAGAGGCAACUAUAGAAACUCUUCCGCUGUGGGGACAACUCUGACAGAACCACCCCGCGAGAGAGAAAAGUGUUUUCAUAUCAUAACUCUCUGUUGUAAGAAAAAAAAGAGUGAGAGAGUGGAGUGCUCACUGUGUGACUGUCUCCUACCAAAAGGACAGCGCUCUAUACGUGACCACCCCGCUAUAUACAUAUGUCGAGAGCGUUAUCCGAUAUAUUGUGCGCAUAGCGAGAGCGCGCGGUUUAUAUGUCUCAGAUUUAAGCGCUGUGUUUACCCAUAACACGCUUGAACUGUGUACUCUAGUGUGCGAAGGAAGAGUGAAUAUGUGUGUCGCGUGAUGUGCAUAUAUAUAUGAGAAACACGUGUGCAAGCGCGUCCUGGCUCUGAACUGACCCUAAGCUCGAGGCUGGGAACAACUGGAUUGAUACCUAGAUCAAGUCAAUUCCAAUGGAAUCAGCCUAACCUACGUUAACUUAAGGAUCGUACUAGCUGUCUAUAUGAGGCUAUAA
rnacentral:rRNA from 1 species